AGAGUUGGUAGAUAGCUCAUAUUGGUUGAUUAUCAAGUAUUCUCAGGCAAUGGUUUUAAAAUUAGUCGGGACUAAUAUUUUUUAAGUGCUUGACUAAGCAGUGAACUAAAAAGUGCCAGCAGUCGCGGUUAUACUUUUACUACAACAAAAUUUUGCAGAAUUAUUUUAAAAAUAAUUUUUAUUUAUGGGUUUAAUUUUAUAAAAUGAGUUAUUUUUAAUUUUCUUAAUAAAACUCAAAUUGUAACUACGGAUAGAAUCGUGUUAAUAAAUUUGUUCUUGAGUAAUUUAAUUUAAACUCAAACCUAAUGGCAGCUUAAAAAAAUUUUGGAGAGUCUUGAGCUCUUAACUGAUAAUCCUCUUUUAUAUUUAAAAAUUUUACUAUUUGUAUGGCUGUAAAAAGAUUUAUAAAUGGAAAUUUGAAUCAGGUUACACAAAAAAAUAAAUUUUGAGUAUUGAGUCUUAGUUAGCUUAUCUAAAAUCACUUUAUAAUAAACAAAAAUUCAAAAGUAAAUCUGAAUAUAUUGAAUACUUUUUUUAAGGGUUCAUAUUGUCCGUCAUUCUCUAUGAGACAAGUCGUAGCAAAGUAGGUGUUAUAGAAAUAGCACCUUAAAUUUAUUACAAAAAUUUUCAGGGAAAAAAUUCC
rnacentral:rRNA from 1 species